rnacentral:piRNA from 1 species
AUGGGAUAUGAAGGGCAGGUUAUGCCAUA